GGAUGAACGCUGGCGGCGUGCCUAAUACAUGCAAGUCGAACUCUUCACUUCGGUGAAGAGUGGCGAACGGGUGAGUAAUACAUAAGUAACCUGGCAUCUACAGGGGGAUAACUGAUGGAAACGUCAGCUAAGACCGCAUAGGUGUAGAGAUCGCAUGAACUCUAUAUGAAAAGUGCUACGGGACUGGUAGAUGAUGGACUUAUGGCGCAUUAGCUUGUUGGUAGGGUAACGGCCUACCAAGGCGACGAUGCGUAGCCGACCUGAGAGGGUGACCGGCCACACUGGGACCGAGACACGGCCCAGACUCCUACGGGAGGCAGCAGUAGGGAAUUUUCGGCAAUGGGGGAAACCCUGACCGAGCAACGCCGCGUGAAGGAAGAAGUAAUUCGUUAUGUAAACUUCUGUCAUAGAGGAAGAACGGUGGAUAUAGGGAAUGAUAUCCAAGUGACGGUACUCUAUAAGAAAGCCACGGCUAACUACGUGCCAGCAGCCGCGGUAAUACGUAGGUGGCGAGCGUUAUCCGGAAUUAUUGGGCGUAAAGAGGGAGCAGGCGGCACUAAGGGUCUGUGGUGAAAGAUCGAAGCUUAACUUCGGUAAGCCAUGGAAACCGUAGAGCUAGAGUGUGUGAGAGGAUCGUGGAAUUCCAUGUGUAGCGGUGAAAUGCGUAGAUAUAUGGAGGAACACCAGUGGCGAAGGCGACGAUCUGGCGCAUAACUGACGCUCAGUCCCGAAAGCGUGGG
rnacentral:rRNA from 1 species